rnacentral:rRNA from 1 species
UGCCAGCAGCCGCGGUAAUACGUAGGUGGCAAGCGUUGUCCGGAAUCAUUGGGCGUAAAGGGCGUGUAGGUGGAUUCUUAAGUCGUGUGUCUAAGUGCGGGGCUCAACCCCGUAUAGGCGCAGGAAACUGGGGAUCUUGAGUGCAGGAGAGGAAAGUGGAAUUCCCAGUGUAGCGGUGAAAUGCGUAGAUAUUGGGAGGAACACCAGUGGCGAAGGCGACUUUCUGGACUGUGUCUGACACUGAGGCGCGAAAGCUAGGGGAGCGAACGGGAUUAGAUA